ensembl:snRNA U1 U1 spliceosomal RNA
AUACUUACCUGGCAAGGGAGACACCGUGAUCACCAAGGCGGUUCACCCAGGGCGAGGCUUGGCCAUUGCGAAUUUCCCAAAUGUGGAAAUCUCGAUUGCAUAAUUUCUGGUAGUGGGGGACUGUGUUCGCGCUCUCCCCUG